rnacentral:rRNA from 1 species
CCUACGGGGGGCAGCAGUCGGGAAUAUUGCGCAAUGGAGGAAACUCUGACGCAGUGACGCCGCGUGCAGGAAGAAGGUUUUCGGAUUGUAAACUGCUUUAGACAGGGAAGAAACAAGACAGUACCUGUAGAAUAAGCUCCGGCUAACUACGUGCCAGCAGCCGCGGUAAUACGUAGGGAGCAAGCGUUAUCCGGAUUUAUUGGGUGUAAAGGGUGCGUAGACGGGAAAUUAAGUCAGAAGUGAAAUCCAUGGGCUUAACCCAUGAACUGCUUUUGAAACUGUUUAUCUUGAGUGAAGUAGAGGUA